UUCUUGUGGAGCCGUGACAUAAACUAUGUCCAUAAUAUUUUUUUUUGGAGAUUGUGGGUCUAGUGCAUCUGAGAUGGUUAACUAUUCGUUGUGGGUUGAAUAUUCAUUGUCUGCUUUUGUUCAUGUUGCGGAAUCUACAGAAACUAGAAGUUUAUAGUUAUU